rnacentral:rRNA from 1 species
CCUACGGGAGGCAGCAGUGGGGAAUCUUGCGCAAUGGGCGAAAGCCUGACGCAGCAACGCCGCGUGCGGGAAGAAGGCUUUCGGGCUGUAAACCGCUUUCAGCAGGAACGAAAAUGACGGUACCUGCAGAAGAAGGAGCGGCCAACUAUGUGCCAGCAGCCGCGGUGAUACAUAGGCUUCAAGCGUUGUCCGGAUUUAUUGGGCGUAAAGAGUUCGUAGGCGGUCAAGUAAGUCGGGUGUGAAAAUUCUGGGCUCAACCCAGAGACGCCACCCGAUACUGCUUAACUUGAGUUCGAUAGGGGAGUGGGGAAUUCCUAGUGUAGCGGUGAAAUGCGCAGAUAUUAGGAGGAACACCGGUGGCGAAGGCGCCACUCUGGAUCGAUACUGACGCUGAGGAACGAAAGCAUGGGUAGCAAACAGGAUUAGAUACCCUGGUAGUCCAUGCCGUAAACGGCGGGCACUAGGUGUGGGUUUCCUAUUAACGAAAUCCGCGCCGUCGCUAACGCAUUAAGUGCCCCGCCUGGGGGAGGUACGGUCGCGAGACGUAAACGUACGAAGAAGUAGUAACGGUCGUGAGAGUGCGAGACGACGACGAGGGAGAGG